GAUGAAGAACGCAGCGAAAUGCGAUAAGUAAUGUGAAUUGCAGAAUUCAGUGAAUCAUCGAAUCUUUGAACGCACAUUGCGCCCGCCAGUAUUCUGGCGGGCAUGCCUGUUCGAGCGUCAUUACAACCCUCAGGCCCCCGGGCCUGGCGUUGGGGAUCGGCGGAAGCCCCCUGCGGGCACAACGCCGUCCCCCAAAUACAGUGGCGGUCCCGCCGCAGCUUCCAUUGCGUAGUAGCUAACACCUCGCAACUGGAGAGCGGCGCGGCCACGCCGUAAAACACCCAACUUCUGAAUGUUGACCUCGGAUCAGGUAGGAAUACCCGCUGAACUUAAGCAUAUCAAUAAGCGGAGGA
rnacentral:misc_RNA from 1 species